rnacentral:ncRNA from 1 species
AUAUUUCACUAGGGGUGCCAUUACUUAAUGGCUGAGAUCAACGUAGAACGUUGGGACUCUUUGAACCUGAUCUGGCGUACAAAACCAGCGGAGGGAAGUGACAGUUGAUUUAU